rnacentral:rRNA from 1 species
AUGAACGCUGGCGGCGUGCCUAAUACAUGCAAGUCGAGCGAACAGACGAGGAGCUUGCUCCUCUGACGUUAGCGGCGGACGGGUGAGUAACACGUGGAUAACCUACCUAUAAGACUGGGAUAACUUCGGGAAACCGGAGCUAAUACCGGAUAAUAUAUUGAACCGCAUGGUUCAAUAGUGAAAGACGGUUUUGCUGUCACUUAUAGAUGGAUCCGCGCCGCAUUAGCUAGUUGGUAAGGUAACGGCUUACCAAGGCAACGAUGCGUAGCCGACCUGAGAGGGUGAUCGGCCACACUGGAACUGAGACACGGUCCAGACUCCUACGGGAGGCAGCAGUAGGGAAUCUUCCGCAAUGGGCGAAAGCCUGACGGAGCAACGCCGCGUGAGUGAUGAAGGUCUUCGGAUCGUAAAACUCUGUUAUUAGGGAAGAACAAAUGUGUAAGUAACUAUGCACGUCUUGACGGUACCUAAUCUGAAAGCCACGGCUAACUACGUG